rnacentral:misc_RNA from 1 species
GAAGAAACAAGCAAAACAGAUAUUGGAAUCUUUAGCCUGUGCAGUCUGCUCUGCUCUUUUUCUACAAUCGACGCGGACUUUUGGCACCAGAGAAUGAGAUCAAUGAAAUACCCCACCUUUUCUUUCUCUUUUCUUGGGUUUUGUCACUCUCCUUGCUCCUCUUUGUCGCUGGACAACCAAGUCCUAAACUCAACCGAAAGCCAAAUCUUGCACCUUCUGUUUGCUAGCUCUGAUUAUUGUCGGGUUGUCUUGGCUUCCAUUUGCUCUGUCUCUGCUUAAUUACUAUUGCUUUUCUUAUUCAGAUUCAAAAGCAUAUCGACUCAAAAACGUUAUUUGAUAAAUAAUUUAGUAUUCGAGUGUAUGAUUCGCAAGGAAGAAUCUAACAAAUUUGAUGGACUCUGAUGAUGGUAGGUACAUCAAAUACUCUGGUUCAUUAAUUGAACCUUGGUGACCAAAAGUGGAUCAAUCAUAAUGAUGAUUUGAUUUUACAUCCUGUGUUUUUGGACCCAACGAGAGCUAGCUAGGGACCAAUAUUGCUCUGCAAGAAAAGGCAUAAAAGCAAGAAGGGGAAAAAAGAAGGCCGGUGGUCAGUGAUCCCACACGACACACAGUGCCUUACAAAUAAGCAAUAAUGAUGGUAGGUAUAUCCAAAUUGAUAACCUAAGAUUUCCUGCAUAGCACUAAUGCGACUUUUUCACAAGCUUUAUUUUCAUUUUGUGUAGAUAAG